rnacentral:rRNA from 1 species
UACGUACGAGGCAAGCGUUAUCCGGAAUUACUGGGCGUAAAGCGCGCGCAGGCGGACUUUUAAGUAGGGCGUGAAAUCUCCCGGCCUAACUGGGAGGGGUCGCUCUAGACUGGGAGACUUGAGGACUGCAGAGGUGGGUGGAAUUCCUGGUGUAGUGGUGAAAUGCGUAGAGAUCAGGAGGAACACCGGUGGCGAAGGCGGCCCGACUGGGCAGUCACUGACGCUGAGGCGCGAAAGCUCGGGGAGCGAACGGG